rnacentral:rRNA from 1 species
UAGGGAAUCUUCCGCAAUGGACGCAAGUCUGACGGAGCAACGCCGCGUGAGUGAAGAAGGAUUUCGGUUCGUAAAACUCUGUUGUUAGAGAAGAACAGCGCAUAGAGUAACUGUUAUGCGUGUGACGGUAUCUAACCAGAAAGCCACGGCUAACUACGUGCCAGCAGCCGCGGUAAUACGUAGGUGGCAAGCGUUGUCCGGAUUUAUUGGGCGUAAAGCGAGCGCAGGCGGUCAAUUAAGUCUGAUGUGAAAGCCCCCGGCUCAACCGGAGAGGGUCAUUGGAAACUGGUUGACUUGAGUGCAGAAGAGGAGAGUAGAAUUCCAUGUGUAGCGGUGAAAUGCGUAGAUAUAUGGAGGAACACCAGUGGCGAAGGCGACUCUCUGGUCUGUAACUGACGCUGAGGCUCGAAAGCGUGGGUAGCAAACAGG